GUUAUUCGUAUCACAGAACCAACGCAUAUCCUGGGACAGUGAAAUGAAUGACUAUGUCUGUAUACACACCUACUAUACCUACGUAUUUUAUCCUUAUCUUUAAAAUUUUAUCUCUCAGCGCCAUAUCUUUUUUUAGUUGAUUAUAUGCUUUCAACAAGUAAAUAUAUAAAAACAAAAAACAUAAAAAAUGGGGAACUGUAGUAAAGAAAAAACAGAAUCUGAAUCUAGGGAUUUUAUUUUAUUCAAAGAGGCUAUUUUGAGAAAUCCUGCAGAUUGGACAAAAGAACACAUUAGAAUACUCCCUAUAGAAUACUUGAAGACAUUAUCACCCAUCGUGCUGGGAACCAUCUGGAACGACUUAGAAGAGUCGAAAAGAAAAAAUAUAGAACUGCAAACUCACCUACCAUGUUUGGAACACUACAAUCGAGAUGAAGACGAAGUUCACAUUGAUGGCCCACCACCAGCAAGAUACAGAUGCCACAUAUGUUCACAUUGACUUUGAUUAUUUGUUUUAUAUAAAGGCUCGUUAUUAAGUAACUAUAUCUCAGAUCAAUUCUGAUCGUAUUAUAAAAAAGUUUAUACAUGGGAUGUUUCUUAAAUAUGUGAAGAUAUUUUCAGAAGUGGUAGAUCUGGAUAAAAUGAAGAUAUUUACUAUUUUUCAAAUAAUUUUUUUGCACUUUUAUUUUGAACAAAUAUACAGGGUGGCCCUAACUGUAUUCGGGAAAAAUUAUUCUGCAGAUAAAAAUAAGUAAAAAAGUUCGUGUAAAUUUAUGUCCUAAAAUGCUUCUUUUUGGAGAUACAGGGUGUAGAAGUUUCAUUUUUAUUUCGAUUUUUUCUAAAUAAUUUAACUAACGCCGAUAUUUGGAUUUGAUUUUCUGGCUACAAGAAAAAUGAAGAGAAUUCUGGGGACAAAAAAUGAAGAGAAUAAUUAAAUUUUCCACAUUUUCACAUCUCGCCAAAGUCGCACAAACGCGGUUUUUGCAUUUUUGCAAACAUGGUUUUUUGCAUUUUUCGGGUUAAACCAUUUUUUUACUGUCGCAAAGUUUUUAAAAUUAAAUAGCAUAAAAAACAUGACCAAAUUGAUAUGUAACUUUCUUUACGUUUUACUGUUUACGAGAUAUGUAUAUUGCAUUCAUUCCCACAUUGUGUAUGCAAGUUUCAUUUUUUGUAAGCUUUUCCAGUAGACCACUUACCAUUGGCAAAGUAUUAGAGCGGGGGUAAUUUAAUGGGCGUCUAGACUAGUGAUGGGAGACUAGUGAUGGGAUCGCGUACUCGAGCGAAAAUUCGCUCGAGUACGCGAUUAUUGAAAUAACCGACAUCGCUCGAUUAUGAACGAGCGACGAAGAUCCUAUCGAGCGAAUUUGCCACAUACAUUGCAGAUUGGCAAUAUUUUAUUAGUAUUUUUGGUAAAAUAUCGUCAAUCAACAGAUUGUUCUUUUGAUUGGGACCGCAUUGUUAAUUAUAGGACUAUACGAUUAUAUCUGUUACGUAACUGUGUGACAAAAUUUUACUACCUACAUCGACAAGGCUUCGAUGCAUGA